CCCAGACUCCUACGGGAGGCAGCAGUGGGGAAUAUUGCACAAUGGGGGGAACCCUGAUGCAGCGACGCCGCGUGAGUGAAGAAGUAUUUCGGUAUGUAAAGCUCUGUCAGCAGGGAAGAAGAAAGACGGUACCUGACCAAGAAGCCCCGGCUAACUACGUGCCAGCAGCCGCGGUAAUACGUAGGGGGCAAGCGUUAUCCGGAUUUACUGGGUGUAAAGGGAGCGUAGACGGCAAUGCAAGUCUGGAGUGAAAGGCGGGGGCCCAACCCCCGGACUGCUCUGGAAACUGUAUAGCUGGAGUGCAGGAGAGGUAAGUGGAAUUCCUAGUGUAGCGGUGAAAUGCGUAGAUAUUAGGAGGAACACCAGUGGCGAAGGCGGCUUACUGGACUGUAACUGACGUUGAGGCUCGAAAGCGUGGGGAGCAAACAGGAUUAGAUACCCCAGUAGC
rnacentral:rRNA from 1 species